rnacentral:lncRNA from 1 species
GAAUCACCGCAACGGCGAGGCGACGGCGGCCGAAAUAGGACUUUCGACGACACCGGCGGACUUGGACCGGGCUUAAGACUUGGCCCAACAAAUCUCAGCCCAAUUGAGAUUUGUUCUUGCACUGGAAUGGGCUUGCUCUUGGGCUUGGGCCUAGCUGGAAUCCUUGGACUGAACCUGAACUUGGGCUUGAAACAAAGCUGAAUUGGGCCUGCCUUUCAAACAACUUGGGCUGAAGCUUGGGUCAAAAUUUGCUGGGCAUCAAGAUGUCAAACUGCAGGCUGCUUGAUGGACCAAAAUGCUGAUCAUUUGGACUGCAGCUGAUUAAUUUCAACUGGGCUUGAAGACAAAUGGGCUGCACGUUGAACUGAAGUGGCUGAGCUGCAAUUUAAGUGGCUUCAAAUGAGAUGGGCUUCCAGUUCGCUGGAACUACUGCUGGGCUCACUGAUUUGUGUGAGCUGGUGGGCCGGACAGAAGCAGCAAAGGCUGCUCGAGCGUGAAUUGAAGACACGCCAUGGAUGGACGAAGAUGCUGUAAUCCGUGGCCACUGGAGCUUCGGUGGAUACGGCUGGUCAACGAAGCCUUCGCUGGGGUUCAGGAAUUCUUUCGGUGGAAAUUGCUGACCGAAGACCCUCGUGGACGCACGGACUGAAGCUUCGUGACUGAAGACGCGUGGACUGGCGUUGCGGACGAGAUGCAGGCUUCCUCGUGGUCUUCAGUGUCCGCUUGUUGCUGGAGUUUGACCCACAGAGCAAGUCGGAUGCGUGGAGGCUGAGAGGACUUCGGUCUUCAGUGCUGGACAACACCUGAAGGAAGCAGCUGUCGCAUGCUGGCUGAGCGUAGGUCAACCGGUCGUCCGAGAGGUAGCAAGGUUGACUGAAAAACGUGGCACGGAGCUGCUUCGGUGCUGCCUCGGCGUCUUCAAGCAGAUGCGGUGGACUGAAGCUCCGUGAAGUGGAGACACGGAACAGGAGUUUUCAUGGCGUCAAAAUGAUGAAAACGUUGGCGAGGAGCUGCGGGGUUUUUGGGGUCGAGAGAUGCAGAAGUUGAGGUCGGCAAAUCAAG